UACGGAGGGGGCUAGCGUUAUUCGGAAUUACUGGGCGUAAAGCGCACGUAGGCGGCUUUGUAAGUAAGAGGUGAAAGCCCGGAGCUCAACUCCGGAACUGCCUUUUAGACUGCAUCGCUUGAAUCCAGGAGAGGUGAGUAGAAUUCCGAGUGUAGAGGUGAAAUUCGUAGAUAUUCGGAAGAACACCAGUGGCGAAGGCGGCUCACUGGACUGGUAUUGACGCUGAGGUGCGAAAGCGUGGGGAGCAAACAGG
rnacentral:rRNA from 1 species